rnacentral:lncRNA from 1 species
CAUGUUGAGCUGCACCUUGUCCCCUUCCGCCCCAGCUAACUCGGUGACCAGUGGAGGCCACACCCACGUGACACCUGCUGUCCUUGACAGCAGCUCCGACGGCACCUCUGUGGCUCUGCAGGAGCCGCCUCCCCGCCUCGUGGGCACACAGAAUCGACAUCUAGAGGAGUACUCACCACUUAAUUGAUGAUCAAUACACGUUCCUUGAAAGAACCGAUAGCAUGCGAUCGAUACAGAGCAUCUGCACUGGGAUUGUCCGCCCCGCCUGUCAGGGAGGCCUCGGGGGCUAAUGGAGCUGAGGGUAUAGUCGGCCUUGGACCCUCGCUUUUUUCCUUUCCUGUACUAUGAAGAUAACUGCCUUAUCUCCCCCUCAGGACUGUUUUGGGGAUUAAAUAGGACGUUUAAAUUACCAACGCUCUUUGAAAUAAACAUUUCAAAAUUAUUAUAACCCUUUAGUACAUGUGGGAAAACGUUGACAUUCAUGUUCAAGUUUAUUUUUCUGCUGGCUCAUUUAGGUUUGUUGAAGCCUUGAGUCCCUAGGAUUGUCUAAGAACAUGGGUAAAUGUGUGUGGAGGCCUCCCUGGAGGCCAGAGAACUGCCAGCAGCCUUCAUGAUGUUAGGGGAACAGGAACCUAGGAGAGCCAGGGUGACAUCGUUUUAAAAUCAACAACCCAUCUUGGCGGGCGCGGUGGCUCAAGCCUGUAAUCCCAGCAGUUUGGGAGAAAAAAAUUAGCCGGGUGUGGUGGUGGGCACCUGUAAUCUCAGCUACUCAGGAGGCUGAAGCAGAAUUGCUUGAACCCAGGAGGCAGAGGUUGCAGUGAGCUGAGAUCACGCCAUGGCACUCUAGCCUGGGCAACAAGAAUGAAACUCUGUCUCAAAAAAAUAAAAAUAAAAUAAAAUAAACUCCAUCUUAAAACCAGUGAAACCACCAUUGCAAAAUUAUAACUGAGACAGUGAGAGAUCUGACCUAACCAACUCCAUCCUACUUUUAACCUCCAAACUGUCCUUGUUCAUUCCUGGGUGUAGGCCAAACUAACUUUGGAAGAAACUUAGUUUAUGGUUUCCCGAAACAAAUCCUUUUCUUGUCUGGAGACUAGACUGCCUUUGUAGGACUAAC